GUGAGGAUGUGAGUCAUCACACUGGCUUCCACGAAGUACACACUCUUCUCUCCUGCGAGAUUGCUUAGGAUCCAGCAGUUAAACUCAGAGUUGAGAAUGAGCGUUUUGGCAUCACAGAGAAGGAGACUCAAGGCUUCCCUGCUGUCUUCUGGGCCCUCACAUGGAUCACAGCAGAAAUGUGGCACACAGGGCGUGGUCUACAGUCAACACCAAGAUUCUGGGUCCAAAUCAAGAACAAAAGCGAUUCUUCGGGAUUUCUGACAUAGACCAUCGUGUCAUUUCACAGUUUUAUUUCUUCCUUUCUGAUUCUUUUGCUUUGCUAGUCAGUCUGUUUAGUACUUUUAAAGCACUCUGUCAGAAUCUAACAUUUAACUUCUACUUAUAUAUAUAUAAUCUAACGUUUAACUUCCACUUUUAAACACUCUGAUAUGAACAAACCCUGAGAGGACCUCAAGGACAGAGAACAUGACCAGGAACACCCGGAGAGUGUCGGGGUGUGAUGUCAGCAA